rnacentral:tRNA from 1 species
GUUUUAAUAGUUUAAAAUAAAACAUUGGUCUUGUAAAUCAAAAUUAAGAUUAUCUUUUAAAACU